UCCAUGACGCUCGAGUGACUACAAAAAUAGCACCCUCCGCUCCUCUACUAUAAUAUAAUCUGUUUCAAGUGUUUAUGUGGGCCGAUCCCGGCGGCACUGCAAUGCCGGGCCAACCCGUGACGGGAGUGGAGCGAGCCCCGAACAUCCC